AAGUUAACGGGUGUCGUACGCCUGGACACGUCUGGUUCUCGAGACCUUGACGAUGACGAUCGAAACUUGUCUGCCAAUUCGAACACACGUAGGAUCCGCGAGGUCUUUGGAACAGGUAGAGGUACCUAUGUAUCAUAUUUCGUGACUCGGGAGUUUAAGCAGCCGAAGCCGAAAACCGCGUAUCUAAGCAAUGCGGAAAACAAACCGGUUUAUCGAAAGACAGUGUUCCCGCCCUAAACGUGAUCGGGGAAUUUUGUUACGUGUAAUAAGGCAGUGGCGGAAAUUUGUCUCUCUCUCUCUCUCUCUGUCUCUGAUUUCCUUUGGACUCAGAGCCUCGAGGCGCACCUUGGCAUUGCUCAAAUAUCGCAUCGGUUUAGCCGCGAUGUCAGUUGGCUGUCGCACACUUUAUCCAAGUAAAGGCAACGAGGCUGGAUGGAUCGGUGACCGGCAAUAGCGAGAGGACAGAUCCGAAGUCAAACCGUGUUCGAGGCGAAUCAUUGGCUCGAGCGAAUCGCGCGAUCCUGCCGUGUCACGCAUCAAUUACUUCGAAUCCAGGCCCGCGGUUUUUGCGAAUCCUUUACCUUUGGAUUCGCAUGAAGUCGAUUGUAAACUUCAAGGAACGCAACAUCGGAGAGUGAAAGUGUCGAGCAGUGGGCGGCCUGUGAUUCAUUUUCUCGGUCAACAGCAGGCAGAGCUUAUAAAUUAUAUAACAGGACUCUUGGAGGCUCGGUGCAAUGUUCGUAAACGGGAAAAGCAGGUGUUGGAAGAACUGAAACGAAACGUGAGGGGAUUGAAAGGUCUGCGCGAGAGCGUCAUCAGAUUAAGCUUGCUGCCGUCGCAGAAGCCUUCAGCAGAGUCAUUCGAUGUGUUGUAGCGAAAUGCGGGUAAAUUUGAUCGCAAUAAACCGCCCGGUGCUAAUUAAAACCAAAUAUGCAAUCCGGGGACGAAGUCCAAGGAAAUUAAAAAUAACAACCCGAGAGGCUGCGGUUCACCGCAGAUUGGAUCAACGCCCGACAUAUGCCAAGGUUGUUCAACGUCAGCGACGAGUUUUUAUUCCACAAUUGUUAUUGAUGUACGAAUAUUGCUCUCGAUCGAUCGAUAAGUCAAGCCUCGCGAUCGCGUCUGCUACCGACGACGUGUCAUAUGGCGCAUGGCCGCCAUGUUUGAUUUUAGAUGAGGAUCGCGCGUUUUAAAUAUCCAAGAGCACGCUUGACUUUUUGCUGAAACUGAAGGGCACGAAUCCUUCUAUCCGUGAUUGGGAUUCUAUCUGUAUCGAAAAAACGGCAGUAUUUACUAAUGGGAGGUCGAAAUGAAUCACACAAAACUCGAGGUGAGACUCGAGGCGCGGGACUUUCCCACACUGUUACGCGACAGUUUUGUUUUGUCCAGGAACUGUGAGACUGAAAAGCUAUAAACUAACUUUAUGGCUUAAAACUACACGAAACAAAUAUCAUCGAUGUACGAACAUAUUUACAUGUAAUAAAUGCACAUUGGAUGUACAUUGUAAUACGAUCACACGUACUGUACGGUCACUUCGCCGGUGUUCUGCCAUUUCUUUCAGAAUAUGUAACGUUCGAGCUCAGGUCGUCUGACACUGCGCUAAAACCGUCCCUAAAUAUGCAAAGACAUGCGUCAUCGCUGAUCCGAGUGGUACAAAGUAUGAAUGUCAGGCGUAAUGAUAAUAAAUUAAAUGAAUCUUCGUUGCACCUGAUGUUACACUGUUAAGCCAAUCACGUUGUUGAUGGAUCGCCACGAUUCGAUUAGAAAAAUCGACAGAAAAACGCAGUUCCAGCGAUGGCCUCGACAAAGAUCCACUUUCCAAGGAUACAAUGUGCGAACGAACGCGUCCUGGAGAAAUUAGAAACUCGGAUAUCUUGGCCCUGAGGCAAGGAUAUACCGGGUAUUAUAGUUUCGAAGAAAUAAAAGUAGGUGGUCUGAUCAUUGUUACGUGGAAUCCGUAGCUCGCUCGAUCCUUAUUGUCAUUAUUGAUGGAGCUUCAUCAACAGAUUCUUGCGCGCAGAUAAACAUGGAUGAAAACCUGAAAAAAGACCCAAUUCCGUUUCUUCAGAAUGUAAGAUCUCAAUUAUAAAGCUGCUUCGAUUUGCAAUUUGUGUAAUGUUUCAGAAUAUUACGAAAAAUGUCAUAACGGUAUAACUUGUCAUACCAUAUUUUAUCAGCAUGAGGCAGGCAAAUGAAGUCUAAAAUCAAACCUAUUCUCGUACGAUUACGAAGAUCCUUUUCUUACAAAAAUUGGCUUCUCGAAUACGGCAAGAAACUGUAAAUACGGGCAUACCAAAAUGAAUUAAAAAAAUCAUAGUGAUGGCACGAUGUCUUCAUCUAACUUCGGAAAAUAUUUAUUAUAUUUAUUCGCAAGAUCAUGGAGUCUGUUUAAAGAUCAAAUCGAAACCAUAAAUAUCAACGAUCGUUUAUCAGACCAUUAUGAGUUUUCUUCACCUUAUACUCAUUUAAUCAAUCACUGCUAGCUCUCAGAGGUAGUAAUUCU